AGUUUUCUUCGGGGCAGGGUGUAAUUCCCUACCGGCGGUUACAGUCCGCGACUCCUUUCUUUUGAAGGGACUGAUUUGGUGAAAUUCCAAAACCGACAGUUAAAGUCUGGAUGGGAGAAGAAAAUG
rfam:Chryseobacterium sp. T16E-39 chromosome, complete genome.